rnacentral:misc_RNA from 1 species
CCUUAAAGAACCUGCCUUUGUAGUGCUCACAGAUUGUCUGAUGAACGUAAAGAAGCAAGGCGUCUUGCGAUUGAGACUUCAGUGUCCCCUUCGUCUAGAGGCCCAGGACACCGCCCUUUCACGGCGGUAACAGGGGUUCGAAUCCCCUAGGGGACGCCACUUGCUGGUUCGUGAGUGAAAGACGCGUGCCGAUGUAUCUCAAAACUCAUCUUCGGGUGAUGUUUGAGAUAUUUGCUCUUUAAAAAUCUGGAUCAAGCUGAAAAUUGAAACGACACACAGUUAAUGUGUGUUCGAGUCUCUCAAAUUUUCGCAAUCUGAAGACAUCUUCGGGUUGUGA